AUAUAAGAGUGCGAUAUUUAGUUUUUCGUCGCCUACGAGUCGAUUUUUUAAGGCCUCAGUUGUCCAGUUCCAUUACAACGAACGAGUCGAUUUUUUCGGUGUUACGAUCAAAAGUAAAUACUAUGUCUGUGAUUUGAAGUUUGUGUACCCUGCAAUUGUGAAGUUUGAUUCGAUCAGAUAUUCAUUCAGAUUAUAUGGAAAAUACUUUUAUGGAGAAUAUAUCUGGAUAUGCAACUACAAUGAUAUUGGAAUCGUUUGCCUAAAUGCAUGGAAAGACCUACACUAUUUGGAGAUGCGACUACAAUAAUGACUGGAAAUAUUCGGCUAGAUGUGUAGGUUUAUCUGGAGACGAGACAAUGAAAAUAUUUGGCUGGAUAUGCAUCUAAAGUGCAUAUGAAGAAAAGGAUUUUCAUCCAGGUUACAUGGAAAAUGGAUGUGGUUUUAUGGAGAAUAUAUCUGGAGAUGCGACUACAAUAAUGAUGGUGGAAAUAUUUGCCUAAAUGCAUGGAACGACACUUUAUUUGGAGAUGUGACUACAAUAAUGACGGUGGAAAUAUUCGGCUAGAUGUUUGGGUUUAUCUGGUGACGAGACAAUGAAAAUAUUUGGCUGGAAAUGCAUCUAAAGUGCUUUUAAAGAAAAGGGUGAGUUUUUUUCCUACAUAACUUAUAUUU
rnacentral:lncRNA from 1 species